rnacentral:rRNA from 1 species
AUACGGAGGGUCCGAGCGUUAAUCGGAAUUACUGGGCGUAAAGCGCGCGUAGGUGGUUCAGUCAGUCAGAUGUGAAAGCCCCGGGCUCAACCUGGGAACUGCACCUGAUACUGCUGAGCUAGAGUACGGUAGAGGGCAGUGGAAUUUCCGGUGUAGCGGUGAAAUGCGUAGAGAUCGGAAGGAACACCAGUGGCGAAGGCGACUGCCUGGACUGAUACUGACACUGAGGUGCGAAAGCGUGGGUAGCAAACAGGAUUAGAUACCCUGGUAGUCCACGCCGUAAACGAUGUCAACUAGCCGUUGGGGGACUUGAUCCUUUAGUGGCGAAGCUAACGCGAUAAGUUGACCGCCUGGGGAGUACGGCCGCAAGGUUAAAACUCAAAUGAAUUGGCGGGG